AACGAACGCUGGCGGCAUGCCUAACACAUGCAAGUCGAACGAGACCUCCGGGUCUAGUGGCGCACGGGUGCGUAACGCGUGGGAACCUGCCAUUAGGUUCGGAAUAACCCCCCGUCAGGGGUGCUAAUAUCGGAUAAUGUCUUCGGAUCAAAGAUUUAUCGACCUUGGAUGGGCCCGCGUUGGAUUAGCUAGUUGGUAGGGUAAAAGCCUACCAAGGCGACGUUCCAUAGCUGGUCUGAGAGGAUGAUCAGCCACGCUGGGACUGGGACGCAGCCCAGACUCGUACGGGAGGCAGCAGUGGGGAAUAUUGGACAAUGGGCGAGAGCCUGAUGGAGCAAUGCCGGGUGAGAGAUGAUGUCGUUAGGGAAGAAAAGCUCGUUUACCCGGGAUGGUUAUGACGGUACCGGGAGAAUAAGCUCCGGCUAACUCCGUG
rnacentral:rRNA from 1 species